GUAAGUGGUAGUAAACCGCUUGCUGUCAUGUCCACGCAGGGAGAUUCAUCCUCCAAAUUCUACAACCAGAUUUCCCCUGCAUAUCUGCUUCUGCUAAAGAAAGACCUAAUACAUCUGCAGCUCCAGAGUCUGUAGUUCCUUCAAAAUCACAACACAGUGUGAAUAAUGAGUCUUCUUCUUCAAUGUAUGUUCUGUAAUCCACUUCAUGAACCAGUCCAAAUAAAGACAAAAACAUGGAAUAUCUCAGUAAAA